CCUAAACGAGUUUACGAGCACCACCCGUUAGGAUAUCCUAACACAGAUUUAAUGUCAAGGUUAAUAAAUGCCUGGUCUAUAUAGUUCUUAACCUAAUACUCCAUCGGGGUGAUACAAUUCAUUUAGAGCAACAAAGCAUGCUGUGUAAAUAACCUUUGAAUACUAAGCUUAACACUUACCUGUUUAGCCUAUCAUUUAGGCUAACCGUACUACAAAUAUUAUAAAUAAAGAGAGAGAGUAUAACAGUACCAGAGACCAAUUGUUGGUGGCUAUUUAGGCUAACAGUACUACAAAUAUUGUAAAUAAAUAGAGAGAGUAGAACAGUACCAUAGAUCGGGUGUUGGUGGCCAAGUGACCCUUUUGAUUUUUCUUUCUGAAUUCAAAAUACUAUCAAAUUACAAAGAAAAUAUUGACAAGGAUAGAGAAGGCUAGAGAGAUGUUCUGGGCUUU
rnacentral:lncRNA from 1 species